GUGGAAUACAAAUGUGCCGAGAUAAGGAUCUUUUCUGAAUCUCGCACUUUUGGUGGCGUACCCUGCAACAGCAUGUUUUUUGUUAUGGCUGUUUCUACUUCUGUUUAGAAGGCAACCGAGCUGAAGGAUAGAGUUUCAGAGACAUGAAGAGUGUGAAGUGAGACCUGCCAUGUGUAUGUUCAUGUACCAGAUCUGCUUGAUGAAAGUUGAAUGCCUUACUAAAUUCAUCACCCAUAUGAUAAAGCAUCAGGAAAUUUAUCUCAUCAUGUGGAGUAAUGCUGUUGGUU